rnacentral:lncRNA from 1 species
GGAAGUGACAUGGCAGGGAGACUCAUAUAUAAACAAGGGCAAGAAGGAAGUGGGCGCCUUCUCUCUUCCUCCAGAGUCACCAUGUGAUCCCUCAAUGAGGACACCAAUGGAAGGCAUCAUAAAUAAGGAAACAAAACAAAACCAGUCUGCCCUGGGAUUUGGAAAUAGGAUCCGAUUCUCUUGGAGCCUCCCGCUCACUGCUGGGAGCCGUGUGGGCAUGAGGGACAGACAGGCGCCUGCGGUCUCAAGGAUGCAUCAGACAGAAACAUUCUCCACGAUUAGAGAAGAGAACCCAUUUUGA